AUUGAACGCUGGCGGCAUGCCUUACACAUGCAAGUCGAACGGUAACAGGUCUUCGGAUGCUGACGAGUGGCGAACGGGUGAGUAAUACAUCGGAACGUGCCUAGUAGUGGGGGAUAACUACUCGAAAGAGUGGCUAAUACCGCAUGAGAUCUACGGAUGAAAGCAGGGGAUCGCAAGACCUUGCGCUACUAGAGCGGCCGAUGGCAGAUUAGGUAGUUGGUGGGAUAAAAGCUUACCAAGCCGACGAUCUGUAGCUGGUCUGAGAGGACGAUCAGCCACACUGGGACUGAGACACGGCCCAGACUCCGACGGGAGGCAGCAGUGGGGAAUUUUGGACAAUGGGCGAAAGCCUGAUCCAGCAAUGCCGCGUGCAGGAUGAAGGCCUUCGGGUUGUAAACUGCUUUUGUACGGAACGAAAAGCCCCGGGUUAAUUCCCUGGGGUCAUGACGGUACCGUAAGAAUAAGCACCGGCUAACUACGUGCCAGCCGCCGCCGUAA
rnacentral:rRNA from 1 species